AACGCCGCCAUAUUUGAAAACAGGCCUUUGUCUUUGUCACUGCUGUCAUUUUCCUUCCCACCUCCCAUUUUCCUUCGAGUUUCCAAGAGUAGUAAACCAAAAAAGAAGAGAGUUUCCGGUGUGCUCCGUAAAAUGGCGAAUAAGAGAAACAGAAACCUACAAAUCAGAGAUUGAUGUCUUUGUGAAAGCCAAUCUCUCUGCCUUUUUGUUUUGUACGAUCAAAG
rnacentral:misc_RNA from 1 species